rnacentral:piRNA from 1 species
UUUAAUUAAAAAAAAACCAGA